UACGUAGGUGGCAAGCGUUGUCCGGAUUUACUGGGUGUAAAGGGCGUGUAGCCGGGCUGACAAGUCAGAUGUGAAAUCCGGGGGCUCAACCCCCGAACUGCAUUUGAAACUGUUGGUCUUGAGUAUCGGAGAGGCAGGCGGAAUUCCUAGUGUAGCGGUGAAAUGCGUAGACAUUAGGAGGAACACCAGUGGCGAAGGCGGCCUGCUGGACGACAACUGACGGUGAGGCGCGAAAGCGUGGGGAGCAAACAGG
rnacentral:rRNA from 1 species